ACUGCCACAGCAGAUUAGAAGAGUGGUCCACUGGGGCUGCCGUGCCAGCACCACUGUAGCUAUCUCUAAAAGCGCGAGAGAAAUGAUGCGUGUGACCUGGAGUGACAAAAGGAAAGAGGAUACCAUCUUCCAUCUGAAGAAGCAUGCUGAGACCCCUCUGGACUUCACUAGGAUUAAGGCUUGCCCAGCUCUGUGGUACAAGAUGAAUUAUAUUAGAAAAACAAUAAGGGAAGAAGAUGGAUACAGUGCUGACCAAU